rnacentral:misc_RNA from 1 species
GAGAUCGGGAGAGAGUUCUUACCCGAUUUUCGCCAAAAUCUUAAUAAUGUACGCGGAGUUCGGAGGAGAGUUCUUAUUCGAAUCUCCCGCUUAAAACUCUAAAAACCAUAUCUAGAGAUCAGUAGAAACUUCUUAUCCGAGCUCUCUUAACAAAAUUCAAAUUAAAAUAACACAACUCCAAUACACAAUAUUAUUUUACUCGACACAUAUUCACUAAAGGCCCAUCUCACGAACUCGUGUUCUUGAGCAACCCC